rnacentral:tRNA from 1 species
AAACUUAAAGUUAUAUCAAACUAGGAGC